rnacentral:rRNA from 1 species
UACGUAGGGUGCAAGCGUUAAUCGGAAUUACUGGGCGUAAAGCGUGCGCAGGCGGUUGUGCAAGACAGAUGUGAAAAUCCCCGGGCUCAACCUGGGAAUUGCAUUUGUGACUGCACGGCUAGAGUGUGUCAGAGGGGGGUAGAAUUCCACGUGUAGCAGUGAAAUGCGUAGAGAUGUGGAGGAAUACCGAUGGCGAAGGCAGCCCCCUGGGAUAACACUGACGCUCAUGCACGAAAAGCGUGGGGGAGCAAACAGGAUUAGAAAACCCUGG